UUUUUCUUUCACCGGAGCUUGCUCCACCGAAAGAAAAAGAGUGGCGAACGGGUGAGUAACACGUGGGUAACCUGCCCAUCAGAAGGGGAUAACACUUGGAAACAGGUGCUAAUACCGUAUAACACUAUUUUCCGCAUGGAAGAAAGUUGAAAGGCGCUUUUGCGUCACUGAUGGAUGGACCCGCGGUGCAUUAGCUAGUUGGUGAGGUAACGGCUCACCAAGGCAACGAUGCAUAGCCGACCUGAGAGGGUGAUCGGCCACACUGGGACUGAGACACGGCCCAGACUCCUACGGGAGGCAGCAGUAGGGAAUCUUCGGCAAUGGACGAAAGUCUGACCGAGCAACGCCGCGUGAGUGAAGAAGGUUUUCGGAUCGUAAAACUCUGUUGUUAGAGAAGAACAAGGAUGAGAGUAAAAUGUUCAUCCCUUGACGGUAUCUAACCAGAAAGCCACGGCUAACUACGUGCCAGCAGCCGCGGUAAUACGUAGGUGGCAAGCGUUGUCCGGAUUUAUUGGGCGUAAAGCGAGCGCAGGCGGUUUCUUAAGUCUGAUGUGAAAGCCCCCGGCUCAACCGGGGAGGGUCAUUGGAAACUGGGAGACUUGAGUGCAGAAGAGGAGAGUGGAAUUCCAUGUGUAGCGGUGAAAUGCGUAGAUAUAUGGAGGAACACCAGUGGCGAAGGCGGCUCUCUGGUCUGUAACUGACGCU
rnacentral:rRNA from 1 species